rnacentral:rRNA from 1 species
AGUGAACGCUGGCGGUAGGCCUAACACAUGCAAGUCGAACGGCAGCACAGUAAGAGCUUGCUCUUACGGGUGGCGAGUGGCGGACGGGUGAGGAAUACAUCGGAAUCUACUUUUUCGUGGGGGAUAAGGUAGGGAAACUUACGCUAAUACCGCAUACGACCUACGGGUGAAAGCAGGGGAUAUUCGGACCUUGCGCGAUUGAAUGAGCCGAUGUCGGAUUAGCUAGUUGGCGGGGUAAAGGCCCACCAAGGCGACGAUCCGUAGCUGGUCUGAGAGGAUGAUCAGCCACACUGGAACUGGGACACGGUCCAGACUCCUACGGGAGGCAGCAGUGGGGAAUAGUGGACAAUGGGCGCAAGCCUGAUCCAGCCAUACCGCGUGGGUGAAGAAGGCCUUCGGGUUGUAAAGCCCUUUUGUUGGGAAAGAAAAGCAGCAGGUUAAUACCCCGCUGUUCUGACGGUACCCAAAGAAUAAGCACCGGCUAACUUCGUG